AGCAUCGUGGACGAAUAGAGAAGUCGCCGUGCCUCUCAAGCAUGAAGAAGCGGGUGCAACCCCCGUCGAUGCUCCCA
rnacentral:tRNA from 1 species